GUUGGAGGUGGGGCCUGGGGACAUGACUGGAUCAUGGGUGCAGGUCCUUCAUGAAUGGUUUAGCACCAUCCCCUUGGUGAUAAGUUCUCACCCAGAGUUCAUGUGAGUUCUGGUUGUUUAAAAGUGUGUGGAGGCUGGGUGCAGUGGCUCACACCUAUAACCCCAGCACUUGGGGAGGCUGAGUUGGGCAGAAUACUAGAGAUCAGGAGUUUGAGACCAGCCUGGCCAACAUGGUGAAACCACAUCUCUACUAAAAAUACAAAAAAAUAGCUGGGUUUGGUGGCAUGAGCCUGUAAUUCCAGCUACUCAGGAGGCUGAAACAGGAAUCGCUUGAUCCCAGGAGGCAGAGGUUGCAGUGAGCCGAGAUCACACCACUGCACUCCAGCCUUGGUGACAGAGUGAGAAUCCAUCUAAAAAAAAAAAAGAAAAGAAAAAGAAAAAAAAGAAAAGAUGUGGCACUUCUCCCCUCCCUCUGUUGCCCCUGCUCUCACCAUGUAAUGUGCCUGCUGCCACGUCAAAUUCUGCCAUGAAUAAAUGUUUCCUGAGGCUCUCACCAGAAGCAGAUGCCAGAACCAUGCAUCCUACAAG
rnacentral:lncRNA from 1 species